UGCAAUUCGAGCACCGCUGGGUUAAACAGAAAGGUGGGACAGCCACGUGGCUCUGCCUGCACAUCUGUGUCUCUGUCCUGCAAACUUUACCUGGGAGGACUUUGCUCUGCAGAUAGGGCAGCUCACUGAACGCGGGCAGCAGCUGCUUCCAGCACCAGUCCCCAGAGCUCACGGGCUUUGCUAGCCAGCAGGGAAGCUGUACCAGGCCAAUGAGCUGUAGCUCCUUGAAAAAAAAGACCCUCCGAAAAGCUGCGUUCUGGAGAAUUUCUGCCUGUCCUAACGUCCCAAAGCAGUGGUGAUGGGCCCAUGUCAACAGACACAGGGAGGAAGGAGUCCAUAAGCACCCAGAAGGCUUGGACCUGACUCAGUGCUUGCCAUGACCGCAGAAAGCUGCGUCGGCUGUCGCUUGGGUUUUCUUCUCCCAUGUAGUGUCUGCCAACACAGAACGCACCAGGAUGCCCCUAGCAUCUUGCUGGAAUGAAAGGUCUCCCUGUCCGCAGGCCAGGAGCAGUAUCUCACAUUUGGGUUUGUUCUGGUUGAAGA